rnacentral:rRNA from 1 species
UAAGGAAUAUUGGUCAAUGGACGCAAGUCUGAACCAGCCAUGCCGCGUGGAGGAUGAAGGCCCUCUGGGUUGUAAACUUCUUUUAUCUGGGAAGAAACCUGCGAUUUCUAUUGCAGCCGACGGUACCAGAUGAAUAAGCACCGGCUAACUCCGUGCCAGCAGCCGCGGUAAUACGGAGGGUGCAAGCGUUAUCCGGAUUCACUGGGUUUAAAGGGUGCGUAGGUGGGUUGGUAAGUCAGUGGUGAAAUCUCCGGGCUUAACUCGGAAACUGCCGUUGAUACUAUCAAUCUUGAAUAUCGCGUAGGUAAGCGGAAUAUGUCAUGUAGCGGUGAAAUGCUUAGAUAUGACAUAGAACACCAAUUGCGAAGGCAGCUUACUUCACGAUCAUUGACACUGAGGCACGAAAGCGUGGGGAGCAAACA